UGCUGCGUGGGUAAAAUAAAAAGGAAGGCACCGCUGUUCGAUGGUCAAAAGGCCGGGCCCUGUGAUCUGACAUUCAGGGGAGGAUAAUAAGAGCACCCGGCACGGAGGAGAGGGGGAAUUCGCUCCUUAGCUUGGUACUGUAUGCAGGGAAAAGCUAGGGUGUCUGCCUUCCUCCUCCUCCUCCUCCUGAGAGAAGGCUCCGUGCUCCCAGGCCGCUAUCUUGGCAUCCGCCCUGCGCUCAGCUCAAAUGCCCCCCCCCCCCCCCGAUUUGUUCCGGUGUAAACAUGUCGGAGGAACUGCUUCGUUGCGUCUUCCCAACCGCCCCGGAACGGUCCGGGCAGCGGAGCGGCAGCGACCUAACAAAGAAGUUGUGGCCUUAAAAGCAGAGCAGAAUUCACUCCGGAUCCACGCGUCCUGUGAUCUGCUCAAGUGUGGGAUUUUCCACCCUGUCUGAUCCCUGCGGUCGGCACAUGUGAUUUACAUUUCUAAAAUAAACGCUACUGCACGUAUACAUUUAAAAAUAUUUCCCUUUGAAAGUAAAUGAUUGUGGGAUUAGAAGCUCCCAGUGAAUAAAAGCAGAAUGUAACCUCUCCUCCCCUCCGUUAA